UUUUGUGUGUUGUUUUGUUGUUUUAUGCGUCUCUGGGACAGUUUUGUGUCGUGUUUUUUGUCGUUUUCUGUCUUGUUGGUGUCGUUUCAGUGCGACGCUGCUCAGCGGCGCUUUGAGGGGAAGCUGGUGGUGUUUCACUUUGAUUGGUUAUUUUACGGGACGGUUCGGAUCGGAUCGGCCAACCGGCCUCUGCUCAUUAUGAAUGACUUCCUGCCGGCCGCAGACACACACUCAGGUUAGAAGACAGAUCACACUGAAAACACACAGAGGCGGAAAAAACCGCUUCCGCUUCGUGGAAACAUGCUGAGAUCCAUCAAACCAACGGAGCAGAGAUUCCCCACGGAGCCGAGAGCGGCGCCGCUCAGGUGUGUGUGUGUGUGUGUGUGUGUGUGUGUGUGUGUCUGCGGCCGGCAGGACG